rnacentral:rRNA from 1 species
GAUGAACGCUGGCGGCGUGCCUAAUACAUGCAAGUCGAACGAACGGACGAGAAGCUUGCUUCCCUGAUGUUAGCGGCGGACGGGUGAGUAACACGUGGAUAACCUACCUAUAAGACUGGGAUAACUUCGGGAAACCGGAGCUAAUACCGGAUGAUAUUUUGAACCGCAUGGUUCAAACGUGAAAGACGGUCUUGCUGUCACUAAUAGCUUGAUCCGCGCUGCAUUCGCUAGUUGGUAAGGUAACGGCUUACCAAGGCAACGAUGCAUAGCCGACCUGAGAGGGUGAUCGGCCACACCGGAUCUGAGACGCGGUCCAGACACCUAGGGAAGGCAGCAGUACGGAAUCUUCCGCGAGGGGCGAAAGCCUGACGGAGCAAAGCCGCGUGAGUGAUGAAGGCCUUCGGAUCGGAGAGAGCGGUUAUGGGGGAAGAACAGAUGUGUUAUUAACUGUGCACAGAUUGACGGUACCUAAUGAGAAAGCCACGGCUAACUACGUG